GCCGUGUAGCUCAACUGGUAGAGCAACUGACUUGUAAUCAGUAGGUUGGGGGUUCAAGUCCUCUUGCCGGCACCA
rnacentral:tRNA from 1 species